rnacentral:tRNA from 1 species
AUUAUUUUGGCAGAUUAUGCGUUAGAUUUAGAAUCUAAUUAUAUAGGGACCCUAUAAAUAAUA